GGCCUGGAUGAGACCCAUCCUGGCAAGAUCUGGGCUGGACCACGUCAGGCCCAAAGAAGGAAGAUGGAGGCUGGAGGAGGGGACAGGGCCUGUGUCGGUCAGCGGAGGAUCGAGACAGACCACUUCUGCCUCCCACCUGGCAGACCCAGGAGGGCCGGGGGUUCUGGGGGGCGGGGGGCGGGGUGGUCUGGGCUGCAGGUGUGUUGUGGCCUGGCUCCCACCCCAGAAGUAAAUCGCUUCAUUUCCCUGUUUCCUCCCAUCCACCGAGGUUUGUUGGCAUCCUCGUAUUUACUCGGAGCAUUUUGUUCUGUAACUGGAGAAGGAGAGGGACUGUCUGUUGGGAGUAGUUCCAAGAAGAGGAGGAGUAAGGAGGGGACAGGCCCUCCUCCCUGGCUCCCUGGCCUGCACUUGGGGCCACGGGUUAGAGGCUGCAGCCACGAGCAGGACCAGCUCUUGCCACAAAGAAGUGUAGGUCCCUUGAUUCAUCCGGAAGAGGAAUUCUUCCAGAAGGAGAAUAUUCAUCUAGGAUGGGGCAGAAUUGGGAGAUAAGAGGUGCUGUGGGCUUUAUCAGCAGCCUGGGAGACGGGGGACAUGGAGGAUCACAGCGGCAGAUCUUAAAUCAAAGCCCGGGCCAUCCAUCUUCCAGAACAGACGGAAAUAACUAGGUGGGUGGCACAGACCGCCACCGCAUGGACAGCGAGAGAUUAGAAAGCUGGAAUCUUGAGCCCCUAAGUCCCUUCACCAAUUUCCCCAAACCCCAGGGACCUGCCUGCUGAAGGGAGAACUCAUUUUAGACUUAGCCCAGGAGGGUCCGUGGGCUCGAUUGCAGAAAAUUCCUCUGUCUGGGGGCUUCUGAAGGCCCUUCCCCCACCACUGUUCUCUUAGCCCCCUUGCCCAUAGUUUCUCCUUGCAGGCACCCUCACGAGAGUCAGGCUGGCAGUGGUGGGGUAGCCGAGUGGUUAGUGGGUGUGCCAGACCGAUGGCUCAAAUCCUGGCUCCACUGCUCACCAGCUCUGCAAAGCUGGGCAAGCUGCAAAGAGACGGUUUGGCUCUCAGUUUCCUCAUCUAUAAAGCAGGAAGGAGGGGUUCCCGUCGUGGCUCAGUGGAAACGAAUCUGACUGGCAACCAGGAGGACACAGGUUCGAUCCCUGGUCUUGCUCAGUGGGUUAAGGAUCUGGCGUAGCCCUGAGCUGUGGUGUAGGUCACAGAUGCGGCUCAGAUCUGGUGUGGCUGUGGCUGUGGUGUAGGCCGGCAGCUGUAGCUCUGAUUCGACCCCUAGCCUGGGAACUUCCAUAUGCUGUGAGUGUGGCCCUAAAAAAAAAAAAAAGAAAAGAAAAGAAAUCUCCAAACAGGAACGAUAUACCAGCUUCAGAGGGUUGUUUGGAGGAUUAAACAAAAUCAUGCACACAAAGCAAAGGGCAAGAUGUCUGACACAGGGUAAGACCUCAAACAUUAACCAUGAAUGUUAAUCUUCUUGUUAUCCCGCAGGUGAGCUCCAUCCAGCUAGCUGCUGCUGCUCCCCACAGGCUCUCCUGCUCUUUUGCCUUUUUAC
rnacentral:lncRNA from 1 species